rnacentral:tRNA from 1 species
CGGGAUGUAGCGCAGUUGGUAGCGCGCUUGGUUUGGGACCAAGAUGUCGCAGGUUCGAAUCCUGUCAUCCCGACAA